AUGGAGUUCACUCACCUGGGUCAAAGGUCGAAGGUCAUGAAAGUCUUGAAUGACACUAGAGGUGAUGGACUCAGUCUUGGGGUUUCCCAGUUAGAGAUGGUCCCAACAGGCAGUCCCACAAAUGUGGAAAGCAGAAAUGAAACAGCAGUGGUUAAACUGACAGUUGUCACAGCUAGAGAUAGAGAUGCAGGAAUUCAGCAGGUGCCGCUGUGUCUUUGCUCCCCCACACUGACAGAUGAAUGCAGAGCUCGUAGCCUCUGCUGUCCCGCGGCGCCAACCGAACAGCCCCGCCCGCCGCUGCCGUCCAACGUGCUGAACCGUGCUCUGUUGUGCCUCGCCCUGGUCUUGGUGGCCUGGGUGGGCGCCAACGUCCCGAAGGAGGAGGACCACGUCCUGGUGCUGAAGAAGGGCAACUUCGCGGAGGCUCUGGCAGCGCACAGCUACCUGCUGGUGGAGUUCUAUGCCCCAUGGUGUGGUCACUGCAAAGCUCUGGCCCCCGAGUAUGCCAAAGCCGCUGCAAAACUGAAGGCUGAAGGUUCUGAGAUCUGUCUAGCAAAGGUGGGUGCUACAGAAAAGUCUGAGCUGGCUCAGCAGUCCGGUGUCUGCACACCACAAUCAAGUUCUUCAAAAAUGGAGACACGGCCUCCCCCCAAGGAAUAUACAGCUGGCAAAGAAGCUGACGAUACCGUGAACUGGCUGAAGAAGCGCACAGGCCCUGCUGCCAUCACCCUUUCUGACGCUGCAGCUGCAGAGUCCUUGGUGGACUCAGGUGAGGUGGCUGUCAUCGGCUUCUUCAAGGACCUGGAAUCAGACUCUGCCAAACAGUUCCUGCUGGCAGCAGAGGCCGUCGAUGACAUACCCUUUGGGAUGACGUUCAACAGUGAUGUGUUCUCCAAAUACCAGCUCAACAAAGAUGGAGUGGUCCUCUUUAGGAAGUUUGAUGAAGGCCGGAACAACUUUGAGGGUGAGGUCACCAAGGAGAAACUGCUGGACUUCAUCAAACACAACCAGCUGCCUCUGGUCAUCGAGUUCACUGAGCAGACAGCCCCAAAGAUUUUUGGAGGUGAGAUCAAGACACAAAUUCUGCUGUUCCUGCCCAAGAGUAUGUCUGACUACGAUGGCAAGCUGAGCAACUUCAAGAAAGUGGCCGAGGGCUUCAAGGGCAAGAUCCUAUUUAUCUUCAUUGACAGCGACCACGUUGACAACCAGUACAUCCUUGAAUUCUUCGGCCUUAAGAAGGAGGAGUGCCCAGCUGUGCCGCUCAUCACCUUAGAGAAAGAGAUGACCAAGAACAAGCCCAAAUAUUACAAACUGAUGGGCUGAGAAGAUCACAGUUUGGUCACCACUUCCUGGCCGGCGAGAUCAAGCCCCACCUGAUGGAUGAGCCAGGAACUGCCUGAAGAUUGGGACAAGCAGCCUGUAAAAGUACUGGUUGGGAAAAACAUUUAAGAGGUUGCUUUUGAUGAGAAAAAGAAUGUCUUUGUGGAAUUCUAUGCCCCAUGGUGUGGUCACUACAAGCAGCUGGCCCCCAUCUGGGAUAAACUGGAAGAGAUGUACAAGGAUCAUGAGAAUAUCAUCAUUGCCAAGAUGGACUCGACAGCCAACGAGGUGGAGGCCAUCAAAGUGCACAGCUUUCCCAAACUGAAGUUCUUCCCCUCAAGCUCAGACAGAAUGGUCAUUGAUUACAAUGGUGAACAGAUGCUAGAUGGUUUUAAGAAGUUCCUGGAGAGCGGUGGCCAAGAUGGAGCAGGAGAUGAUGAUGACCUCAACUUAGAAGAAGCUUUGGAGCCAGACAUGGAGGAAGAUGAUGAUCAGAAAGCUGUGAAAGAUGAACCGUAAUGGAGACACCAGACCUGAGCACCCCAACCCAAAACCUCGGUGGGCCACGCUCCCAACAGCCCAC